rnacentral:rRNA from 1 species
UACAGAGGUCUCAAGCGUUGUUCGGAUUCAUUGGGCGUAAAGCGCGUGUAGGCGGCCCUGCAAGUCGGGUGUGAAAUCCCACGGCUCAACCGUGGAAGUGCACUCGAAACUGCAGGGCUAGAGUCCUGGAGAGGAAGGUGGAAUGCUUGGUGUAGAGGUGAAAUUCGUAGAUAUCAAGCGGAACACCGGUGGCGAAGGCGGCCUUCUGGACAGUGACUGACGCUGAGACGCGAAAGCGUGGGGAGCAAACAGG